CUAAAGGAAAGAAAGCAGUUGACAAUACCCAACAAUAAGAGACAAUGCAAGUGCUUUAAAUUGGAAAUAGCCUGUAGUCUUCUGUGAUGACGAAUUUCUGCUGUACCAUGAAAGCACUGUGGAAGAGAGCCCUGCCAUCUAUGUAAAUACACUUAAAGAGCAGAAGAUCUUCUGCGCUCUCUUUGUAGUUGUGAACGUGCUGUGUGUGCAAGGCAGAAGGUUGUGACAUGUCAUAAACUUCUCUAAUUUCUGCGGUCUUUUUACAGUCAUGAAUAGCAGUCAAUCUCUCUAAGCAACCCAUUCUGGAUUUUGGUUUAAAACCACUACAUAUUUGAAGUUAGAAACAAGAGAUAUUUUAGUAUUCUACCUCUUUCAACAUGUACUUUCUGUCUUGAUUUAAGUCCAAGAACUUAGUAAUAUGGUAGGCAGAAACUCACCUGUCAGAGAAGUUUACUUUUUUGGACAAAUGUUAUGCUAGAAAUCAUGGGAUGAUUUCAGAUAUUUUCAUCAUUAAAAGAAAUGUUGGAGUAAACCAUGGACAUGUGGACAUGAACUGAUGUGAAGUGAAUAGAUUGCAGACAAAAUUCUUCUCUCAUCUGGAGUAGA
rnacentral:lncRNA from 1 species